UAAUUUUGCUUCUUUUUUUUUUAAAUUAAAUGCCAAUUACUUUGAAUGUGGCCAUUCUGAGAAGCAAUAAAAACCUUUUUUCCCCCCCCAUUUCAUCAUCAGCAAAUUAAACUAGAAUGGCACUCGGCAGAUGCAUACCUUCGACAAGG